rnacentral:tRNA from 4 species
GCAGACGUAGCUCAGCUGGAUAGAGCAUCCGCCUUCUAAGCGGACGGUCACAGGUUCGAAUCCUGUCGUCUGCGCCA